GCGAAUACCGGAGAAUGUUAUCACGGGAGACACACGGCGGGUGCUAACGUCCGUCGUGAAGAGGGAAACAACCCAGACCGCCAGCUAAGGUCCCAAAGUCAUGGUUAAGUGGGAAACGAUGUGGGAAGGCCCAGACAGCCAGGAUGUUGGCUUAGAAGCAGCCAUCAUUUAAAGAAAGCGUAAUAGCUCACUGGUCGAGUCGGCCUGCGCGGAAGAUGUAACGGGGCUAAACCAUGCACCGAAGCUGCGGCAGCGAACGUAUCACUUAAAGCGAUUCAGCGGGUUACGAUUGACGGAGCGAAGCGACGUCAAAGCGUAUACAAAGUCGAGUCGGUUUAAGGAUACGUU
rnacentral:rRNA from 1 species